rnacentral:rRNA from 1 species
UGAGGAAUAUUGGUCAAUGGGCGAGAGCCUGAACCAGCCAAGUAGCGUGCAGGAUGACGGCCCUAUGGGUUGUAAACUGCUUUUAUGUGGGGAUAAAGUGCGUGACGUGUCAUGCAUUGCAGGUACCACAUGAAUAAGGACCGGCUAAUUCCGUGCCAGCAGCCGCGGUAAUACGGAAGGUCCGGGCGUUAUCCGGAUUUAUUGGGUUUAAAGGGAGCGUAGGCUGUCUAUUAAGCGUGUUGUGAAAUUUACCGGCUCAACCGGUGGCUUGCAGCGCGAACUGGUCGACUUGAGAGUGCAGGAAGUAGGCGGAAUUCAUGGUGUAGCGGUGAAAUGCUUAGAUAUCAUGACGAACUCCGAUUGCGCAGGCAGCUUACUGUAGCAUAACUGACGCUGAUGCUCGAAAGUGCGGGUAUCAAACAGG